GAGGGCCUUCGGCGAGACCCGCGGAUCUCCGGAUCAGGAACAUGCUUGGAGAAAGGCGAAGGCCUUUUUCCCGAAUCUCUGAAAACCCCGGAGAGCGCCGCUGCGCACACGCUCGAUCUUUCGGGCACGUCCCUGUGAAGCGCUCUGGAGGGAGAGUGGAUGAGGGCUCGUUUUGUUCCCUUUCCUUCUCUCAGCUUGGCUUGAGAGAGACACGUCACGUGGGAAACGUUCGGCCGCUAGCGUCGCCAGGCGGUUUCAGCCCUCGUUGGGAGCAAGAGCCAAGCGCGGUAGACUGAACUGGAAACACUUUGCGGUCGAGGCGGAGAGGAACAGACGAACAACACUUGAUGAUAGUGGCGCUUCGGAGCCGACUUACCGCUGAGAAGCACAAACUUCGUGGCACGACGAGGGGGCUGUGGGAAGCGAGCGCCUCCCCUUCGUUUCCGAAGCAGCAGCGUCCCGUUGCGUCGCACUCUGAGUCGAGCGGUGUGUUUCGGUUCGUUUGAGAUACACUUCAGUUCUUGAAAGGGUACAACACAGAUCCUUGCCGCCUCGAGAGGAACACAGAGGCAGUGCGUGCCGUGGAAAGCGGAACGUGCUGGGGAAACAGACGAAACGGGGUUGCUGUGGAACAGAGGAUGAGAGCGUUUUUGAGCGGUGAUUCUGGGAUAGGUCGGUACCGGACAGAGAAAGGAAAUGCUGAGUAGUAACAAAAAACCGUUCACCUCCGAGAAACGAGCCUUCGGAGCGCAACAAUCUGAGUGCAAGAAACCAAGCUGUGGUCGUGACGACGCUGCGUCUUUGGACACAGACACGGUCGACAGACUUCGGCCAGGUCAGCCUGUCAACGAAUGGAGCUCGUAUGAGUGGGAAGGCUGCCUACAUCUCGUGCAAUGGUCUUCUCUUAGAAAGAGUUGCCAGGGACAAAUCCGGAAGCUGUAGGCGAAAGUUGCGAUCCCCCGACUGCCGUUUCAAGGGCGGUGAUGCUGCAUACACUAGGUGCCUUGAGACCUGAAACAAGUCGUCCGAGUGCUGCGGUUGAGAUACACACCACUGGCGUAGAACUGCCGUGUCGACACCACUCACCAGGACCAGCAGCGUCGAGUUUGGGCACCGCCGACCUGACCUGGGUCAACACAUUCUCUGACUACUUUGGACCUGAAGACCAGGUAAAGGCAACUGUCAACGACCGGCAUGUUUCUGGUGAAAAGCCGCUUCCUUGCUGGGAAAAGCCAGAGGAAGGCCGCCCUCAAAGACGCUACGUACACACCUGCUCAACCGACACAGUGAGGGAGAACGCGUACUCGCCGGUAGUGGAAGUCUGAAUGAUGGCGACUGUUCAUCGCUGACGAAAACGAGCUCACUUGGAGCUGGACUGACUUCUGCAGCCAAGCCUUCUGUACCGAGUGUUGCCAGCGACGUUUGUGCAGCGUGUUUACAUGUUGUCACUUUUGUGAGCAAAUGCAGUAUAACCUUUCAAUGCCUCGUGUCUAUCCGGUACAAGUCUGGCUGGGGUCGAAACGCGAACUUUGAGGUCUCACGACCUGCAGCCGGCGUCUGCCGCUGAAGUGCUCAGCGGCGUUUCUGUUACGAACUUUGGAGACGAGUGGUGCGGGAACAGGUG
rnacentral:lncRNA from 1 species